UACAGAGGUCCCGAGCGUUGUUCGGAUUCAUUGGGCGUAAAGGGUGCGUAGGCGGCGGGGUUAGUUUGAUGUGAAAUCCCGGGGCUCAACCCUGGAAUUGCAUUGAAUACUACCUUGCUAGAGUACCGGAGAGGAAACUGGAAUUUACGGUGUAGCAGUGAAAUGCGUAGAGAUCGUAAGGAAGACCAGUGGCGAAGGCGAGUUUCUGGACGGUAACUGACGCUGAGGCACGAAGGCCAGGGGAGCAAACGGGA
rnacentral:rRNA from 1 species